AUUGAACGCUGGCGGCAUGCUCAACACAUGCAAGUCGAACGGCAGCAUGGUCUAGCUUGCUAGACUGAUGGCGAGUGGCGAACGGGUGAGUAACGCGUAGGAAUAUACCUUAGAGAGGGGGAUAACAUGGGGAAACUCAUGCUAAUACCGCAUACGUUCUAUGGAAUAAAGCUGGGGACCUUCUGGCCUGGCGCUUUAAGAAUAGCCUGCGUCCGAUUAGCUAGUUGGUAGGGUAAAGGCCUACCAAGGCGACGAUCGGUAGCGGGUCUGAGAGGAUGAUCAGCCACACUGGGACUGAGACACGGCCCAGACUCCUACGGGAGGCAGCAGUGGGGAAUAUUGGACAAUGGGGGGAACCCUGAUCCAGCAAUGCCGCGUGUGUGAAGAAGGCCUGAGGGUUGUAAAGCACUUUCAGUGGGGAGGAGGAUUGACGGGUUAAGAGCUAGUUAAUUGGACGUUACCCACAGAAGAAGCACCGGCUAACUCCGUGCCAGCCGCCGCAGUAA
rnacentral:rRNA from 1 species